rnacentral:misc_RNA from 1 species
GAAGAAGAUGAAGAAGAAAGAAAAAAUUCUGUCCAUUAAUAAUUAAUACUAUCAUUUGCAACUUUUAGCCCAAUUCUAUGGGACAUUUCAACUGAUGCACAUGAUAGAAGUUAACAUUUGGUAUUUCAAAAUUAAAGUGGUUAACCAGCAAGUACAAAAUGCUAUGUGGGAUUCUCACAUUCUUUUAGCUGAUAGAAGGAAGCACCUGAAAUUAACUUUCCAACAUUUUCUUCAUUCUUAAGGAUAAAAAUGAUUUCAAGGAAUGAGGAAUGUGACGAUAAGGAGUAGGGCAGUUAGUGGGUUAGUACAGCAGUACAAUAGGAAGAUUCUAUAAUAGUAGUUAGUUGUAAUCACUCUCUUCAGUCAAUUGUAACUGUAGAGAGCAGUUAUAGAAUUCAAAGAAGUAUAAAUAGGAACUUACUUUUAAAGAGGAGACUGUGCAAGAUAAUUAAUAAUCAAAGAUAUCUCCCUUCUCUCUUCUUCUCUCUCUUUUCUCUCUAUUUCUGCUCUCUCCUCUUCUCUAAUUCUCUCUGAAUCUUCUUCCCUUUCUAUUUCUUUUCUCAACCCAGUCUACUUCUAUCUCUUUCUCUCCCUAUUU